CGUUGAAGUUCAUGAGAUGGCUUUGUGGUAAUACGAUUAAGAUGGUUGCUUUAGUCUAGAAGAAAAAUAACGUGGGAAUAGUGAUUCGAGGAUAUUUGAGAAAAUUUGUUAAAAUUUGAAAACAUUUUCUGUGUUCAAAGAUGUUGAUGACAUCUAGAGAAAUUCGUGAACUGUACUCGAGAUUUGAGGACGUCUGGUCACUUUACUCUAUAUAGAUUCUUUACCAAGCCUAGAUCACCCAUAUGGAUCCUGUGUUUCUCUUCAAAAUUUGAACAAUAAAACCAAAAUUU